UUGGCGCCGGCAGCAGCGACGAUGAUAAGAAGGAAAAACGUAUAAAUUCAAAUUGCCAAGUGUUAACCUCUCCAUUCUAGUGCUGUGUUCUCUCUUACAAAAUAAGAAAUGAAAUUUGGUGGAAUUUUGUUGGUUUUGGCCGUCGUGAUUGUCGGAGCUUUGGCUCAGUCGCCGUUGGGAACUUGUCCGGAAAGUGACGGGCAGAUCCCCGUUUACUUGCCCGACUCACAGAACUGCGAAUGGUUUUACACUUGCUCCGGCGGGAUUCCAUGGCAACAGACCUGCUCACCUGGGCUUCACUGGAACAGAUCCCUCAAUACGUGCGAUUAUCCAGAAAGCGCCAAAUGUCCCACCGCCUGAUGAUUUUCUGAAAAUUCAUUGCCGUCAAUUUCAAUUACUACUCUCUGCUGUUGAUCCACACCCCUUUUUUGUUUUCGCAUUGCAGUUUUCAGUCAGAAGCUAUUAGCGCUAAUGGCUAAUUAUUUUUUAGAUCAAUAAAAUAUACAUGCAAAUCCCCGG